rnacentral:lncRNA from 1 species
AUAAUUCAGAGCUGCACGUAAAGUAGAUGAGACACAGCAUUUAACGAGGUUCGGCUAUGCCUACGUCCUCGGAGAGCAGCAGCAGUAACUUUUCCACUAUGUAAAAUAAUAAGGCUACAAGUUUAGUGUUUACAAUAUAUGUGGCUCACUGAAUUUUCUCUCUAGGAGAAUUUCUCUCUGCUCUCUCUUUCCUCUUUCUUCCUUCUCUUUUUUCUUCUCUUUUUUCUUCUCAUUUCUCUUCUUAUUUAUAGGCUGAAAUAAUCACUAUUCAUCACUGUUCACCCGUGACAGACAAACUCUAUCAAAGCCGCCAAAUGAACAGUAAUGAAUAGUUAGUGGGCUCCACAUGUUUAUUCUUUUAUUCUUUUACAACACUCCCCCUUGGAGACCACUAAUGAUAUGUCGGUUGUAUCAUUAAAGACUUGCUUGGAGAAAACCUAGUAAGGUAGAGAACUGAUGGAAAGAAGAGUACAACAAUCUGUAUAGCAUACUUCUGGAUGCUCCCCCUGAUUAAUAUCUCCCCCUGAUGUCUUCAUGACUAUCUUUUGGAUUGAGAAUCUUUCGGAGUGAGUGGAUGAUGUAGCCACCAACAAUUCAUAUAGUAAAUAUAUUUCCAGUGAGCUAUAUGUAAAUCAUAGAAAUUUGCAGAGUCCGCAUAUCUAAUAACGCUUGGGCUAUUUAUAAGUUCACUUGAAAGAAUAUGCCCAUACAUGGUGUUAUGCGGAAAUAGCAUCAAAUAUACCUCACAUCAUCCCAAAAUGAUGGUGAUGAAGUUGAGCCUUAUCUGGAAAAUAUGAUGUCCGGUCCAACAUACUUCCGGAAAAUCCUUAAAGUGCCCAACAGAUAAUCCUCAUAAAAAUGCUUCAAUACUUUCUUAGUAUAAGCAAGUAUCUCGUUGGCAUAAUGCUCGAUCUUGAAGUCGAGACAAAUAUUUCUGGAAUUCUUGAGAAGCUUUAAUGUGUUGCAAACACAUUAUAAUCAAUAUACUCCCUGAGGCAAUUUAUGUACAUUAACAUUGAGUACAGAUUUUGUGCUUCAGGCACAUGUCCACAGACUUGCUUCAUGCAAUUUCAAUCCUUUCAAGGAUUUUGUUUAAAGGCAUUAAACUCUAUGACACAUUAUAUAGCUUUAACCCAGCUAUUUAUACAUCUUUAGGGAAUCACUUCAGGUGAUAUGCUCUGUGCAAUUAAUAACCCUUUUUAUUCCGAACACUCAAGUAUAACUUUUAAUAUUAACAUCUUUUAGGGUUCGUACUGUGGGUUUGUUCUUUCACGUUUAUUCUCAUCUAUAAUGGAAUUGCCUCAUUCCAUUUUGGCCAAUGAUAUUGUCGACAUUUAAUAAUUGAACGUGGUUCCAAUCAACACAGCCCAUUGAUGAUUUGAGUAGCUACUCCAAAAUCAAAAAUUUGUCAUUCAUCAAUUUAUGAUCCCACCAUUCUCAUGUGCAUGCGUAUGCAUCAAUUAUAAGCAUUUCUUUGCUUUUGGGUACCCAAGCCACUGCAGGGGCCUUUUAUUAUGUGAGAAUGUAGAUUAUAACCUCCAAUGGAGCGUUAUUUUAUAGCAGGCGUGGAUAAUCUCCAUUUAGGGAGUUGGAACAUUUAGAACCCAUAUAUCUGUCAUGCUGCAGGCAUGCCACAGAUUAAUACAUACAUGUCAAUUAAUUUAUGGGACUUUAACCCAUAUAAUUUGCUACACAUUAGGCGUGCAUAAUAUCAAUAUUGACAUGUCAAAGGAUUGUCCUUUCGGGACUUCAAUCCACAUCAUUUGCUACACAACAGGCGAUUAAUACAUACAUGUCAAUUAAUUUAUGGGACUUUAACCCAUAUUAUGGGACUUUAACCCAUAUAAUUUGCUACGCAUUGGGCGUGCAUAAUAUCAAUAUUGACAUGUCAAAGGAUUGUCCUUUCGGGACUUCAAUCCACAUCAUUUGCUACGCAACAGGCGUGCAUCAUAUUGAUCACUGCUAUACCCAUAUUCUGUUCUUAUGAGACUUUAAUCUGUGCAGUGUAUUAUCAAUGUAUCCAACUUGCAAUCUGUAAAAUUUGCGUUAAUAAUUCAUGGAUACAUACAAGCCAUUCUUUUGGAAUGGACUUAUCUCCCAAUUUGGUUACCUUUCAAGAUAAAAUAUCAAAUAGGUAUAUAAGCAUAAAAUAACACAAGAAUUGCUUACAUCCUUAGGUGGGAGAAACUUUUCUCAAGUAUCAUUCAAGCUCAUAUCGGCCCAGUAAAUAUAAAGUAUCGCUUGAUGAUCUUGUUAUAUCCUGCAAGAGCAAAAAUCACAAUUCUUUUCUCUGUCAAAAACAAAUAACUCUCAGAGUUAGGAUCACUGCAUGGAUUCAUUCUUCAAAUGUUCAUUCUAAAGAAAUAAAAUCUCUUAUGAACAGAGAGUUAUAAAAAGAGAAAAAAAAUGCAAAAAGAUUGUGAUAUUGAUUGCAAGGUAAGGUAAACAAUCAAGGAAGGAAGCUGGUGGGAGCAAACAACAAGCUCUCAUUUCUCCUAGUCUAGAAAGACCUCAGGAGAUUGGAGCAUAAGGUCACCUUCACAGUUCCCUAAUGUAGCGGAAACAUGAUUAGGGAUAGUCUUGCUUCCUGAAUGUAUGAUCAGAGAUAGUCUUGCUUCUCGGGCAUAUUGAGUACUUACUGAUAAGAAAAACAAGUAGAUAUCGCAUCACUAGGUAUGGAAUAAACUGGAUGUCUUCUGCAAAGAAAAUUUCGUUAGUAACACAUUUAUACACAAAUACAAUGAAUAGGUAGAACCGGUGAAUUUCAAAUUAACCAUAGGAAAAUUGCGAGAUUCUCGGGAUGCUGUUGAAAAAGUGCGAGAUUCUCGGGAUGCUUUUGAAAAAGUAGCUCAGUGAAAUCCGUAAAGCAAGAUCGGCUUUGAAAAUAAUGCUUGAAAACGCCGAAAGUGCCGACAGGCAUUAUUAGAGGCCACGUGAAGUUUUGGACUCUAGGAAAGAAAAAGAUAAUAUGGGGAUUCGAGAAGAUAUUGGGGUCCUGAAAAACAGUAGCCAUAUUUCCUCCUAUAGAUAUGGCCUUUGUAAAACUUGAUUGGAGCAACUGCGUUUCAACUCAAAUUUCUUCAUUUUCUGAAACUUUAGUUUUCCUAAGACUUUCUUCGAAACCUUCUAAAAAAUGGCUUCCUCUUCUUCCUGCCCAAAUUAUUUCAAUUUAAAUGAUGCUCCAACAGCAAACAGUGACGCCAAAGUUUGGCGUCCAUCCUUUGUAUCCCAAAAUCGUCAUCUCACAGUUAAUGAUUCUGUGAUGAUGAAUGAUGCUACUGCUGUCAUAGUAGCUAGGAAUUUCAUUACUCCAAUGGAUGAAAUGCUGUUAACAGGGAGGUCUGAGGAAGAGGCUAUUGAUGACUCAAUGGCUUUUAGCAUUCAGAGUGCUGUUUCUGUUUCUAACAUGGCUGAUCGUUUGCGUGUUAGAGCAAACGAGGUUGAGAAGCUGACAACUGAAAAUUCGUCUCUCCAAAGAAUGCUUCAUGAGUCUCAACAGGAGGUUGAGAAACUUAAAGGAGAGAAUAAUUCCUUGUUGAAACUGGUGAGUUCAUACUCAGUUGAUACACUGAGAAGGCUAGACAUGCUGCAGGUCUCCAAUGAAAGAAUUUUGGGAGACCACGAGAAGCUCAUGGCUAAGCUUAAGAGGCGCCGUCCUCUUCCUUCAGAGGCUUCCAGAACAUAAUGUAAUUUUAUAGAUUUUACAGGGCCUGCACCUUCAUUGCAGGUGGAAAAAAUCUAUCUGUUGUAUGUUUCUGUAAUAAUAAUUGCGCACAUUCUUAAACUUGCACCUGUGGUUUUUACGUCUUUUCAAAAUGACGGUUUGGAACCUUGUGCCUUAUAGGUUCAAAUAACCACAUUGUCUCUCCCAAAUUGCAUGGUAGCCCGGAACUUUUGGCCUGGGCACAAACUCAGAAUUUAUUUGCCCUUUUCAAAUGGACAUGAAAUAUGAAUUGAGUAAAAGCCACGAUAAUAUCGCAAUAUAGUAGUGAAGAGCAUUAACUACUAUAUACCCACAACUUCAAGUUCAGGAUCUCUCAUAUAUUUGGAUUCAUGGGCUUCCGGCCCAGGUAUAAUAAAAUAUGUGGGGAGCCUCAAUUCAUUAUUUGAGGUUUAUAUUGAUAUUAUCCAUUUCACAGUGUAUUCUUAACAACCGGAAUUCACAAAAUAUAUUUCUUCCUUGAGGUGUCGAUUAUAACAGAAUCGAACUUUAUUAAAUUCAUCAUCUUCUUAUGCCAAAGAAAUAUGUGGUGUACCACAAUUUGCAAUAAUACCUCAAGGGUUGUCCAUUUAAUUGUUGGAACUUCAAGUUCUCAAUACUCUUAAAUUUUGAACUUCAGGCCAAAGUCACAUAUUCUCAUGGUAUGGACAUUUUUACAAUUUUCUGUACAUAUUCUGGGACUUCAAGCCCUUACAUAAUUGUCCAUAUUUUGAGGAACUUCUGGCAUCUCAUUUAAUUUCUCAUCCAUGAGUUUAAGGAACUGCAGGUUCCCUUUUGUAUAUAGUGACGGUUUAUCCAAAAUGGUUAAUGUUUAUGCAUACGUCACUAUUCAUGUGAAUAGUACUGUUCAUUAAGUCAUGAAUACAUAUCUAUUCAUGUGUACAGUACAUCUGCCAGUACAGUUAUCAUCCAUGGCUCAUAUUUAUGCAUACGUCACUAUUCAUGUGAAUAGUACUGUUUAUCAAGUCAUGAAUACAUAUCUAUUCAUGUGUACAGUACAUCUGCUAGUACAGUUAUCAUCCAUGUGUACGGCACUAUGAACCAAUACGGUACUAUUACAUCAUUAAGGAACCCCAGGUCCUUAUUCACAUGUCAGGGAUCAAGGAUCUUUAAGUCCAAUCACAUGUUUACAAGUAUAGUACCGGAGAGACUGCCAGCUCUCAUAUCAAUAUCAUCAUCAAGGAUCUUCAAGUCCUGAUGUAAUUGUAUGAUGAGGAUCAAGGAACUUCUGGUCCUGAUCUGCACACUGUAAAAACUCAUCAUACAGCACAAUUAAUCCAUAAAAUAAAUUGCUGAUAAAUAAAUUACUGGUAUGGACGAUAAACCCGCACCAUACUUUAAAUAAAUUAAAUAGCUUGCUGUAUGGACGUUAAUCCCGCACCAUAUCUUAAAUAAAAUUAAAUAUGCGGUAAAGUAAACGUGCUUAUAUGGGCACUAAUUCUGCUCCAUACAUUUAAAUAAAAGCAAAGGCGUGGGCGAUAAACCCGCACCACCCUUUUAAAUAAAUACUGUUGUAUGGGUAAUAAACCUACACCAUACAGUAAAUAAAAAAAUGUGGGAAUAAAAACCACCACUGAACAAGAUAAGGAAAGUGUUAGUAUUAGUAACGGUCUCCCACUGAUAAUAUGUUUAGUAUUACCAAGGGUCCAUUUUUGUUAAUGGUUAGUAAUAGAAAAGCAGAUAAAUAUAGUAUAUUAUAUUACCAUCAACUUUUCAUAUAUAUAUAAUAUAUAUAUAUAUAUUAUACUGAUAUAUUAGUGGAAAGCUAGAUACGUUGGCUUUUCUUCUUUACAUCAACAUAAUGGUUAGUAUUAUAAAUAAUAGUGCAGCACAAAAAUUAUACCUGAGAGCUUCUCGUGCUGAUAACGUGUUAUAAAAUAACCUGGGAUAUGUGCGAUAAUUCAGAGCUGCACGUAAAGUAGAUGAGACACAGCAUUUAACGAGGUUCGGCUAUGCCUACGUCCUCGGAGAGCAGCAGCAGUAACUUUUCCACUAUGUAAAAUAAUAGGGCUACAAGUUUAGUGUUUACAAUAUAUGUGGCUCACUGAAUUUUCUCUCUAGGAGAAUUUCUCUCUGCUCUCUCUUUCCUCUUUCUUCCUUCUCUUUUUUCUUCUCUUUUUUCU